rnacentral:tRNA from 1 species
UAGCUCAGUUGGUAAAGCAUCUGCCUGCAAUGCAGGAGACCCUGGUUCAAUUCCUGG